UACGUAGGGUGCAAGCGUUAAUCGGAAUUACUGGGCGUAAAGCGUGCGCAGGCGGCUUUGCAAGACAGAUGUGAAAUCCCCGGGCUCAACCUGGGAACUGCAUUUGUGACUGCACGGCUGGAGUGCGGCAGAGGGGGAUGGAAUUCCGCGUGUAGCAGCGAAAUGCGUAGAUAUGCGGAGGAACACCGAUGGCGAAGGCAAUCCCCUGGGCCUGCACUGACGCUCAUGCACGAAAGCGUGGGGAGCAAACAGG
rnacentral:rRNA from 1 species